AUUAAACGCUGGCGGCAUGCCUUACACAUGCAAGUCGAACGGCAGCACGGGGGGAACCCUGGUGGCGAGUGGCGAACGGGUGAGUAAAGCAUCGGAACGUGCCCUGGAGUGGGGGAUAACGUAGCGAAAGUUACGCUAAUACCGCAUAUUCUGUGAGCAGGAAAGCAGGGGAUCGCAAGACCUUGCGCUCUGGGAGCGGCCGAUGUCGGAUUAGCUAGUUGGUGGGGUAAAGGCCUACCAAGGCGACGAUCCGUAGCGGGUCUGAGAGGAUGAUCCGCCACACUGGGACUGAGACACGGCCCAGACUCCUACGGGAGGCAGCAGUGGGGAAUUUUGGACAAUGGGCGAAAGCCUGAUCCAGCCAUGCCGCGUGAGUGAAGAAGGCCU
rnacentral:rRNA from 1 species